rnacentral:tRNA from 4 species
GCCGACGUGGUGAAAUUGGUAGACACGCCAUCUUGAGGGGGUGGUGGACGUAGUCCGUGGCGGUUCGACUCCGCCCGUCGGCACCA